rnacentral:rRNA from 1 species
UCCCUAUGCACAGAACAUUUAAUUUUCUUAAACCAAUAUCACCCGAGUAAAAGAAUUGAACCGAGCCCCUAGAAAAGUACUGAGAAGGAAAGAAAUCAAAGCAUGAAAAAGUUAUUUAUUGUACCUUUUGUAUCAGGGUUUAUCCAAUUCUAACCUUUAUUGGCGAAUCCCGAAGAAGGGUGAUCUACAUCAAUUAAAGGUGGCUGUUUCACAAGCCUCUGAAAGACUGAUGUUGGUGUAAAAAAUAUUACGGACCCUUAUAUCUGGUUGGCAAAACAUGCCUUUAGGGCUUUCCGCAGGGAACAUCUUCUAGGGGAUGAGCUCUAGAAGCGGGUACACAGCUAUAUUUCACGCGGGUGCUAUAGGCUUAACAGUUGCCAAAGUGUAAUAACCGAUCCCGAUGAAAGAGCAAUUUAAAAGCUGUUAACCCAAACUAGCCGGUGCUGAUUAUUAGAAUCCAGCAAUCAUAAUGAUAAAAUUAGUAGAUAAAACAUUCGUAAAGCGUACUUACUAAAAUCGGGAAGGAACUCGGCAAAACUCGCCUCCGCCUGUUAACAAAG